AUACAUUAAGACAUUGCGUCCAAAAAUAAUUGUAAGUGGGUUUUUAGAUAGGUUUUUAUGUAUUUUUUAAAUUUAAAUAAUUUAGGUUCUUGUUUGAUAUGUAUAGGAAUUAUGUUAUAAAAUUUAGGUCCAAAGAACAUUAGGGAUCUUUGUGUUACUGAUUUUUUGAACUGCUGAAUACUAAUAUC
rnacentral:lncRNA from 1 species